AAGGGUGCGUAGGCGGGUAGGUAAGUCAGUGGUGAAAUCCUGGAGCUCAACUCCAGAACUGCCAUUGAUACUAUCUAUCUUGAAUAUUGUGGAGGUAAGCGGAAUAUGUCAUGUAGCGGUGAAAUGCUUAGAUAUGACAUAGAACACCCAUUGCGAAGGCAGCUUACUACGCAUAUAUUGACGCUGAGGCACGAAAGCGUGGGGAUCAAACAGGAUUAGAUACCCCUGGU
rnacentral:rRNA from 1 species